CGCUGAGAAGCUAAACUGGAACAGCGCUAGCCUUUUAAGCUAGAGAUUGGCGGAUCCUGCCCGCCCUCAACGA